GAAAGGCAGACCGUUUUAGCACCGGUGCGGUGAGGGUCAUAAAGCAGAGUUUAUGAUGGGAUUUACCAUGGCUGGGAGCCUGGCUGCAUCAAGCAUGUAACGAGGGCAAAAGAAUGACAUAGCAAAACGCAAGAGGAAAGGUGAACUCCAAACGGGCUUGAAAUACGUGCCACUCUGUACCGCUGAUCGUUCUCAAAAGAAGAUCUUCAAAUCUCUCAUACUUCUGAGCAGCCUGCAGGUACUGCCUGGCCCUUCCAGACACGAACCGUGGAGCAAAGGGUCCUGUUCCUAGCAGCACUGGUCCGUCUGUGGAAGUGCACUGAAGCUCCCAGCACGUUGGUGAGUAUGUGUGUGACAGAAGGGAGGAAGGGCGUCUUUCAGAGAGAGCUUCCUGCUUUCCCCUGGGAGCCUGCAGACCUUGCUCAGAGCAGCCUUUUCUCUGCUCCCACUGGCAAUGCCGCUUGGCAGGAGGGUGGGCUUGGAGCCCCCAGCCUGCCACGUGUGGCUGAGCUUUAGAGGUGCUCUUUGAAACUAGUCAGAACUCACUCGGAGGGUCCCAGGGUAACGUGCUCUGGCACAGCCCUGCAGCGUAAUUACAAUUGUAGUAAGCUGUAGCAAAUUGUAAGGUAAUUGCAGCUAAGUUGUCAAAAACAUUAAAGGACAGUCUAAUGAUUAAAGGACCAAAGGAAAAGACAAGGGGUCUCUCUGUGCCCCUCAACCAGAAGCCUUCCUAUCUGAUGCCAGAUGUGACACUGAAAUCUUCUGUGCCUCAGUUUCU